CGCGGCGGCGUGCCUAAUACAUGCAAGUCGAGCGGACAGAAGGGAGCUUGCUCCCGGAUGUUAGCGGCGGACGGGUGAGUAACACGUGGGUAACCUGCCUGUAAGACUGGGAUAACUCCGGGAAACCGGAGCUAAUACCGGAUAGUUCCUUGAACCGCAUGGUUCAAGGAUGAAAGACGGUUUCGGCUGUCACUUACAGAUGGACCCGCGGCGCAUUAGCUAGUUGGUGAGGUAACGGCUCACCAAGGCGACGAUGCGUAGCCGACCUGAGAGGGUGAUCGGCCACACUGGGACUGAGACACGGCCCAGACUCCUACGGGAGGCAGCAGUAGGGAAUCUUCCGCAAUGGACGAAAGUCUGACGGAGCAACGCCGCGUGAGUGAUGAAGGUUUUCGGAUCGUAAAGCUCUGUUGUUAGGGAAGAACAAGUGCAAGAGUAACUGCUUGCACCUUGACGGUACCUAACCAGAAAGCCACGGCUAACUACGUGCCAGCAGCCGCGGUAAUACGUAGGUGGCAAGCGUUGUCCGGAAUUAUUGGGCGUAAAGGGCUCGCAGGCGGUUUCUUAAGUCUGAUGUGAAAGCCCCCGGCUCAACCGGGGAGGGUCAUUGGAAACUGGGAAACUUGAGUGCAGAAGAGGAGAGUGGAAUUCCACGUGUAGCGGUGAAAUGCGUAGAGAUGUGGAGGAACACCAGUGGCGAAGGCGACUCUCUGGUCUGUAACUGACGCUGAGGAGCGAAAGCGUGGGGAGCGAACAGGAUUAGAUACCCUGGUAGUUCCACGCC
rnacentral:rRNA from 1 species